rnacentral:rRNA from 1 species
UACGGGGGGAGCAAGCGUUGUUCGGAUUUACUGGGCGUAAAGGGCGCGUAGGCGGCCUCCGCAAGUCAGUUGUGAAAUCUCCGGGCUUAACUCGGAAAGGUCAGCCGAUACUGCGGGGCUAGAGUGCAGAAGGGGCAACUGGGAUUCUCGGUGUAGCGGUGAAAUGCGUAGAUAUCGAGAGGAACACCUGCGGCGAAGGCGGGUUGCUGGGCUGACACUGACGCUGAGGCGCGAAAGCUAGGGAAGCGAACGGG